GAAAUGCGAUAAGUAAUGCGAAUUGCAGAAUUCCAGUGAGUCAUCGAAUCUUUGAACGCACAUUGCGCCCUUUGGUAUUCCGAAGGGCAUGCCUGUUCGAGCGUCAUUAUCACCCCUCAAGCCCCCGGCUUGGUGUUGGACGGCUUGGUCUCUCCCCAGAGACCCCUCCUAAAGUGAAUGACGGCGGCCUGUGGGACCCCCGGUACACUGAGUUCUUCAUUGAGCACGUAUCGGUUUGCGUGGUCCUCGGGACAACGGUCUUCUCCCUCACGGGAAACUAUUUUCUAGGUUGACCUCGGAUCAGGUAGGAAUACCCGCUGAACUUAA
rnacentral:misc_RNA from 1 species